rnacentral:rRNA from 1 species
UACGUAGGGGGCGAGCGUUGUCCGGAUUUAUUGGGCGUAAAGAGCUCGUAGGCGGCUUAGCAAGUCGGGUGUGAAAGCCCCGGGCUCAACCUGGGAAUUGCAUUCGAGACUGCAUGGCUAGGAUGCGGAAGAGGGAAGCGGAAUUUCCGGUGUAGCGGUGAAAUGCGUAGAUAUCGGAAGGAACACCAGUGGCGAAGGCGACUACCUGGCCUGUUCUUGACGCUGAGGCGCGAAAGCUAGGGGAGCAAACGGG